AUUCACUAAAAUAAUAAAAUAAUAUGGCACUUCAAUGUAUGGCACAGAGUAGGUUCGAUAUAGGACAGAUAUUAUAUUGGUUCGUUUUACGUAUAGAUAAGACAAUACAAACAAUUCAUUUGACAAAUUAUCGUUGUUAAUUUUUUCCAAAAUUACAACGUAUAGAUCUGCAUUGAAAAAAUAAUCUUUGGAGGGAAACGACAUCUAUGUUCCCCACCUUUCUUCAAAAUAGUAGCUAUAACUUUGGUUCCACUGUAUUUCAAUCAACACAAUCUGAAGCAUUCCUAAUACACAACGUCUACCUAACAGUUGUAUCCCUAAAAAUUCAAAAAUAAUACAUGAUUCCAUAACCAAUACACAUGUGAUAUUUCUCGGUGAUUAUUUUCAACUUUAUACUACAUUUAUAGUUUUGUUAAUGUAAUAAUAUUAUUUACUGCGAUAUUUUGUCAUCGGCCAUGAAGUCAGCAUAUACUUUUAUUCUGGCUAUAUACUCAUAUUUCGUAUUUGAAACAGUCAUUUUGUGUGAUAGAGACAUCAGAAAACGACAAACUGAACCAACUUGCACAGAAGAGUCGGAGUACGCUUGUCAAUCCGGUCAAUGCAUUGAUGUUGCAACUACUUGCGAUGGAAUUCAAGAUUGCAGUGAUGGAUCUGAUGAAACACAAGUUUUAUGUGAAUCGACCACGUGUCCAACAUAUGGAUUCAAAUGCACAUAUGGUGCUUGUAUAAAUAUAGAGGGUAGAUGUGAUGGAGUGACCCAAUGUUUAGAUGGUUCUGACGAGGAACUAUGUUCAUCCUCGAUAACUUCAGAACCUGAAGUCAAUCUUGAAAAUAUCUCCACAGAAUCUACAACUACAGAAUCGACAACUACAGAAUCAACAACCACAGCAUCGACAACUACACCAUGGAAAACUACACCUUGGAAGACUACAGCUAACCCAACUACACCAUGGAAAACUACGGCAUCAACAACUACAGCAUGGAAAACUACAUCAUCGCCAACUACACCAUGGAAAACUACAGCAUGGAAAACUACAGCGCCGACAACUACUUCGACGCCAGAUACAAAAAUCAAACAAACUGAGUCGAUAAACCAAUCUUCCAUUCAAAAAAAAACUUGCGUGAUACCGGACAUUGAGGGUACUAAGUAUUUUUAUAAGGAUACGAUUCAAAACGUUCCUCUAUCACAUGGGUCUAUAGUGAAUAAUUAUCGCAUUGUUGAAGAGGACUGUGAAGAAGGAUAUUAUAAAACUGUUCCGUACAAAUUGAUGGUAUGUUCGGAGUUUGGACAAUGGAAAUCAGUUGAUUCCGAUAAACUGUGUUUGAAAAAGUGUACUCCUAUGGUAUCAGAUGUAUUGGAUAUUAAAUGUUCACUGAAUGGAGUUAAUGUAAAUUGUUCAAAGCCAUCAGAACCUGGUACUAUAUUAACACAAUCAUGUAAAGUUAAAAAUUCACAUAAUUCACCAAGAGAACAAGGAUUAAUAAAAGCUGAUAAUGAGUUGCUUUGUCUUAAAAAUGCAAAAUGGAAUGGUCAACUACUUACCACUUGUACUUCACGUACAGAAUCAACCUCGAAUAGAUUGAAAGAAUCAUCUGUAAUAGCACCUUGGAAUGUGGAAAUAUAUAAAAUUAAUAACUAUGGUCGUUAUUUCCGAGUAUGUGGAGGAACAUUGAUUGCUCCAAAUUUAGUUGUCUCCGCUGCCCAUUGUUUUUGGAAAAAGGGGUUAAGAAGGAAGAUCUUACAGAAUGAAAAUAAUGUUUUUAAAACUGCCGUUGGAAAAGAAAAUAGCAAUUUUUCUACAAUAGACAAUACUUAUACACAAAUUAUUGACAUCAGUUUAAUUCAUCUGGAGGAUAGUUAUGAUGGUCUGUCUGGACAUUAUGCUGAUGACAUUUCUGUAAUCGUGUUAGCAUCCAAUGUCGUCGUUAGUAAUGGUGUUCGACCGGCUUCCAUUGAUUGGUCUGCGACACAUAUGCUUUCUAAUGGAGAUCUAGGAAAGAUGUUUGGCCUGGGAAUGAACGAUAUGAUUGGCAAUGGACAACAUAAAUCAAUAUUAAAAUUAUAUACUUUACCAUAUAUUGAUCGGAAAACGUGUCAGGAAAUGUACACAGAUGGAUUUGAAAAUUACGUGACUAAAGAUAAAUUUUGCACAGGUUAUAAAUUGGGUAAAAAAAAACUAAUGUUUCUUAUAGUUUUAAUAGGUAUUCUAUUGAACGGAGUUGGAGCUCAGCUGUGAAACAUUUUUUUAAAAUAAUUUACAUUUCAUCAGUUUUAUAGACUAUUUCCAUUUGGUAUAAUACCAAUAAGCUUUAAAGUACUUACUAUUUUUACCAGAAAAAAAGUGUAGUUUUGAACAAAUAUCAUUACAUUCUCGGUUCAUUCAAAAUUCUACGAUGUAAGCAGAUCAAAGCGUACGCAGUGUUAAACAUUAAUAAAUUAUCGUGCCACGUCAGACAGAACAAAAUAUUAUAGUUUUUUUUAUUAAUUUUUAAUUGUUUGAGGCCUUCAGAAUCAUAAUAUAUCUUUACAAAGGUUCAUUUAUUAAAGUUACAGGAGAAAGAAAUCUUAUAGGAUUUGGAGGUUCGGGCCUAAUAUACGAAUAUAGCACAGGACCAUUUUUAACAGGAAUAUUUAGUGUCAAG
rnacentral:misc_RNA from 1 species